UAUGGCCACAUCAUGUUCAAACACCAGUUUCUGUAUGAUCACCAAAGUUAAGCAACAUUGAGCUUAGUUAGUACUGAGAUAGGCGACCACUUGUAAAUACCAGGUGCUGUAAG